CACAGCUUUAUGUUUUGCUGUAAAUUCAUAUAUCUCUUAAUAAAUAGCAUGGACUGCCUAUUUAUGGCCAACCCAGGGCUGCUGUUUCUGGAGUAGCACUGUGUGCCACAUGCUUGCAUUUCAUUUCCCUGUCUCCCCAGCAGAUGCUGCAGAGGAAGAGGCUUUAAAGGCUUCUCGAUGAGGAGAAGAAAGAACAGACCUUUUAAAAUUGAUAGGCAAAUACAAGCUAAUGCUUAGCAAGAAAAGCUGAUUAUAUGAGGAUGAAUAUGGUAUCAAGUAUAACAAGGAAUUAUUGGGUUUAUUUUAAGCUGAUUUAUUUUAAAGUAAUUUCUGAGAUCCAGAGGGACUGCAUAAACAUUUCUCAUAGUAUUUUACAGCUAUAGCAAGAAAUCUGGGCUUUUAGUAGAGCUUAAAAGUUGUCUCCAGACCCCACUGACUUUGUAUGUGUGCUGGGCAGCUUACAAACCUUGACUUUUUGACAAGAUUAGCUCAGAGGAGGUUGUAGAGAGGCGGGGGUUGGCCUCUUUUCCCAGGUAGCAGUAGAGAUAAUGGCUUUAAGUUUUACCCGGGGAGGUUCAGCUUGGACAUUCAGAACGAUUUCUUCUCAGCAGGAGUGGCUGAGGCACUGGCACAGGCUGCCCAGGGAGGUGGUGGAGUCACCAUCCCUGGAGGUGUUUAAGAACGUGCGGAUGUGGCAGUGAGGGAUGUGGUUAGUGGGCAGUAUUGGUCAGGAUGGGUUGAUGGUUGGACUAGAUGGUCUCAGUAGUCCUUUCCAACCUUAAUGAUUCUAUGAUUCAGAUUUUUGUCUCUCAAGUAGAGGUUCUGGUAGUUUGGCAGAUGUGAUCCACGCGUGAUAAUCAUUCAAAGGGAAAUGGCAUAGGCAGGUUUGUUUUGUAAUGCACCUUGAAGAUGCAGCCUCCAUGAACACCUUCUCAUACUUGUGAGAUAUGGUCCUAUGUCAUUAUUUUUCCCCUCCAACAACAUGAAAAAUAAUUAUUUU
ensembl:lncRNA